GACGAACGCUGGCGGCGUGCCUAAUACAUGCAAGUAGAACGCACAGUUUAUACCGUAGCUUGCUACACCAUAGACUGUGAGUUGCGAACGGGUGAGUAACGCGUAGGUAACCUGUCUGGUAGCGGGGGAUAACUAUUGGAAACGAUAGCUAAUACCGCAUAAUAUUAAUUAUUGCAUGAUAAUUAAUUGAAAGGUGCAAUUGCACCACUACCAGAUGGACCUGCGUUGUAUUAGCUAGUAGGUGAGGUAACGGCUCACCUAGGCGACGAUACAUAGCCGACCUGAGAGGGCGAUCGGCCACACUGGGACUGAGACACGGCCCAGACUCCUACGGGAGGCAGCAGUAGGGAAUCUUCGGCAAUGGACGAAAGUCUGACCGAGCAACGCCGCGUGAGUGAAGAAGGUUUUCGGAUCGUAAAGCUCUGUUGUAAGAGAAGAACGGGUGUGAGAGUGGAAAGUUCACACUGGACG
rnacentral:rRNA from 1 species